rnacentral:sRNA from 1 species
AAAACCUAAGUAUUGAAUCUUUGUAAGAAGAGACAAAGAGAAAGACUCAUACGGACUUCGGCUACACUAUCAAUGCUUUGAGAAGCAAGAAGAAGCUUGGUUAGUGUUUUGGAUUCGAAUAUGACUUGAUGUCAUGUGUAUGAUUGAGUAUAAAAACUGAAACCGCAAUCGGAUUUUAAAACCCUAAGAA